rnacentral:rRNA from 1 species
UACGUAGGGGGCAAGCGUUGUCCGGAAUCACUGGGCGUAAAGGGCGCGUAGGCGGCCUCAGGUGUCGGAUGUGAAAGCCCGGGGCUCAACCCCGGAGGUGCAUCCGAAACUCUGGGGCUGGAGGUCGGAAGAGGAGGGUGGAAUACCCAGUGUAGAGGUGAAAUUCGUAGAUAUUGGGUGGAACACCGGUGGCGAAAGCGGCUCUCUGGUCCGGACCUGACGCUGAGGCGCGAAAGCGUGGGGAGCAAACGGG